AUUGAACGCUGGCGGCAUGCCUUACACAUGCAAGUCGAACGGCAGCACGGGCUUCGGUCUGGUGGCGAGUGGCGAACGGGUGAGUAAAGUAUCGGAACGUACCUUUCAGUGGGGGAUAACGUAGCGAAAGUUACGCUAAUACCGCAUAUUCUGUGAGCAGGAAAGCAGGGGAUCGCAAGACCUUGCGCUGAUUGAGCGGCCGAUAUCAGAUUAGCUAGUUGGUGGGGUAAAGGCCUACCAAGGCGACGAUCUGUAGCGGGUCUGAGAGGAUGAUCCGCCACACUGGAACUGAGACACGGUCCAGACUCCUACGGGAGGCAGCAGUGGGGAAUUUUGGACAAUGGGGGCAACCCUGAUCCAGCCAUGCCGCGUGAGUGAAGAAGGCCCUCGGGUUGUAAAGCUCUUUCGGCCGGGAAGAAAUCGCAUGGGCUAAUACCCUGUGUGGAUGACGGUACCGGAAUAAGAAGCACCGGCUAACUACGUGCCAGCCGCCGCCGUAAGAC
rnacentral:rRNA from 1 species